ensembl:lncRNA
ACGAAUUUAGCUUAGCUGUCCAGACGACGGGGUGGACACACUGGAGGAUGCUACCGCUGAUGAGUUUCCAUAGCUACAAGGACAUCCGAGCGGAAGAGAGGGGAGGUGCUGAGACAGCGCUCGUGGACUUCCGGUUGAUGAUGAGCAUUAAUGUUAGAAAAACGGUCGUGCCACUCGAGCACAGCCGAAGAGACAGUCUGCAAUCACACCCACUCUCGCCACUGUUACACUGUGUUUGCACACACUGUGACCAAACUGUCCAGCUCUGUCAGCGCCUGCUGCGUUGAAAUGCCUUCCUGGAUGGAAUCUUCAAACGGUGCACAUGAAGCUGAAGAUCAUUUCAACAGAUACUUGAUCUGCAUCAUCAGAACAUAUGUGACCAGGAAACCAUGGCAACCAUCUCAGGUGCUCUGGCAAGCUGGAAACAAGGCCAAAGGAAUGUGUUUCACAAGCCUGCAUUAGUGUUAAAUGGUGUUACACCUCACAUCAAAGGCAAAUACGUGGAGGAAGAUGCUAAGGUCCUUUUUAAGAUAUAUAGUGCUGAUAAGAGCUGUUUGCUAUAUCAUUCAGCAAGAUAAGUCAAAUUUAUUUGUAAAGUGCAUUUCACAAAUCAUUUCAAAGAAGCUUACAGAAAGUCAUACCAUGCUUUUGAUGAUAUAUAACGAUGAUAAGUGAUCUUCUGCAUUAAUAUCUAGCUAUAUUGCAGCACACCCCACCCCCAUUAUUAAUAUGAGCAAUUUUUGCAGGAAAAGUCCAUAUCUGUGUAUUGUAUCUUUAAAAUUUACUGACAGCCACCAAAAAACAGAAGGUGAUAAAAAAACCCCACACAUUAUGAAUCAAAGUUCAUCACAAAUAAAUUUCUUACAUGUUGCGGUAACA